rnacentral:rRNA from 2 species
ACUCGUUGUUAAAGAAGAACGAUUUUGAGAGGUACUGUCCAGUAUUGACGGUAUUUAACGAGAAAGGCACGGCUAACUACGUGCCAGCAGCCGCGGUAUACGUAGGUGGCAAGCGUGUCCGGAUUUAUUGGGCGUAAAGCGAGCGCAGGCGGUUUUUAAGUCUGAUGUGAAAGCCUUCGGCUCAACCGAAGAAGUGCAUCGGAAACUGGGAGACUUGAGUGCAGAAGAGGACAGUGGAACUCCAUGUGUAGCGGUGAAAUGCGUAGAUAUAUGGAAGAACACCAGUGGCGAAGGCGGCUGUCUGGUCUGUAACUGACGCUGAGGCUCGAAAGUAUGGGUAGCAAACAGGAUUAGAUACCCUGGUAGUCCAUACCGUAAACGAUGAAUGCUAAGUGUUGGAGGGUUUCCGCCCUUCAGUGCUGCAGCUAACGCAUUAAGCAUUCCGCCUGGGGAGUACGGCCGCAAGGCUGAAACUCAAAGGAAUUGACGGGGGCCCGCACAAGCGGUGGAGCAUGUGGUUUAAUUCGAAGCUACGCGAAGAACCUUACCAGGUCUUGACAUACUAUGCAAAUCUAAGAGAUUAGACGUUCCCUUCGGGGACAUGGAUACAGGUGGUGCAUGGUUGUCGUCAGCUCGUGUCGUGAGAUGUUGGGUUAAGUCCCGCAACGAGCGCAACCCUUAUUAUCAGUUGCCAGCAUUAAGUUGGGCACUCUGGUGAGACUGCCGGUGACAAACCGGAGGAAGGUGGGGAUGACGUCAAAUCAUCAUGCCCCUUAUGACCUGGGCUACACACGUGCUACAAUGGAUGGUACAACGAGUUGCGAACUCGCGAGAGUAAGCUAAUCUCUUAAAGCCAUUCUCAGUUCGGAUUGUAGGCUGCAACUCGCCUACAUGAAGUCGGAAUCGCUAGUAAUCGCGGAUCAGCAUGCCGCGGUGAAUACGUUCCCGGGCCUUGUACACACCGCCCGUCACACCAUGAGAGUUUGUAACACCCAAAGUCGGUGGGGUAACCUUUAGGAACCAGCAGCUAAGGGGACAUUAUUU